UACGAAGGGGACUAGCGUUGUUCGGAUUUACUGGGCGUAAAGGGUGUGUAGGCGGUUCUUUAAGUUUGGUGUGAAAUCUCCCGGCUCAACCGGGAGGGUGCGCCGAAUACUGAGGGACUAGAGUGCGGGAGAGGAAAGUGGAAUUCCUGGUGUAGCGGUGAAAUGCGUAGAUAUCAGGAGGAACACCGGUGGUGUAGACGGCUUUCUGGACCGUAACUGACGCUGAGACACGAAAGCGUGGGUAGCAAACAGG
rnacentral:rRNA from 1 species